rnacentral:rRNA from 1 species
UACGUAGGGUGCAAGCGUUAAUCGGAAUUACUGGGCGUAAAGCGUGCGCAGGCGGUGAUGUAAGACAGGUGUGAAAUCCCCGGGCUUAACCUGGGAACUGCAUUUGUGACUGCAUCGCUGGAGUGCGGCAGAGGGGGGAUGGAAUUCCGCGUGUAGCAGUGAAAAUGCGUAGAUAUGCGGAGGAACACCGAUGGCGAAGGCAAUCCCCCUGGGCCUGCACU